UUACGGCUUGCAGAAGUCAUUUCCUACUUC
rnacentral:sRNA from 1 species